UACGGAAGGCAGCAGUGGGGAAUAUUGCACAAUGGGCGAAAGCCUGAUGCAGCUAUGCCGCGUGUAUGAAGAAGGCCUUAGGGUUGUAAAGUACUUUCAUCGGGGAGGAAAAACAAAACUAAUAAUUUUAUUUCUUGACGUUACCCGAAAAAGAAGCACCGGCUAACUCCGUGCCAGCAGCCGCGGUAAUACGGAGGGUGCUAGCGUUAAUCAGAAUUACUGGGCGUAAAGAGCACGUAGGUGGUUUUUUAAGUCAGAUGUGAAUCCCUGGGCUUAACCUAGGAACUGCAUUUUGAAACUGAAAUACUAGAGUAUCGUAGAGGGAGGUAGAAUUCUAGGUGUAGCGGUGAAAUGCGUAGAUAUCUGGAGGAAUACCUGUGGCGAAAGCGGCCUCCUAAACGAAUACUGACACUGAGGUGCGAAAGCGUGGGGAGC
rnacentral:rRNA from 1 species